rnacentral:misc_RNA from 1 species
GUCCCAUCCACUCCUCCGUCCAAAAUAAAUAAAAAUAAUAUUGUCAAAUCGCCACUACAUUAUUAUUUUUUUUUAAUUUUAAGUCAAAAAUAAAAACCCUAAACUAAAAAUAUAGUUAUUUAUCAAUAAAUUAUGCAGUGUGCACAAUGUUUUUUUUACAUAUACAAAUAAAAAUAAAAUAAAGACCAAUCGUUAUUUAGACAUAAGAAGCACAUGAUUAUUGCUUGGCCUGAAAUCCUUGACUCUCUUUUUUCCUUUCUUGUUCUUUUUCCCUAGAAAAGCCAAGGCCUUUCCCAGAUCACAAAGAUCUAUCUAAUUCCUAAGGCUACGUUUGCUUCAGAGGAAAAUAAAGAAACAAAGAAAAUUAUGACAAAAAAUAAACAUAUUUUUUAUCUUCUCUUAUUUUGAAAUGAGAAAAAAAUAAAAAAAAUGAAAAAUAAAGAAGAAAAAUAAUAAAUAUAUUUACUAUUUAUUUUCUCUCCAUUAAAAAAAAAGUGGGUGAAAAAAUCAUAUAAUU